AUUGAACGCUGGCGGCAGGCCUAACACAUGCAAGUCGAACGAGUGGCGGACGGGUGAGUCAUGUCUGGGAAACUGCCUUAUGGCGGGGGAUAACUCCUGGAAACGGUAGCUAAUACCGCAUACCAUUCGAUGAGCCAAGAUUGGAUUGGCUAGUUGGUGGGGUAACGGCUUACAAAGGCCACGAUCCCUAGCUGGUCUGAGAGGAUGACCAGCCACACUGGAACUGAGACACGGUCCAGACUCCUACGGGAGGCAGCAGUGGGGAAUCUUGCACAAUGGGCGAAAGCCUGAUGCAGCCAUGCCGCGUGUAUGAAGAAGGCCUUCGGGUUGUAAAGUACUUUUAGCGGGGAGGCGGUACCCGCAGAAGAAGCACCGGCUAACUACGUGCCAGCAGCCGCGGUAAUAC
rnacentral:rRNA from 1 species